rnacentral:rRNA from 1 species
AGUGAACGCUGGCGGUAGGCCUAACACAUGCAAGUCGAACGGCAGCACAGUAAGAGCUUGCUCUUACGGGUGGCGAGUGGCGGACGGGUGAGGAAUACAUCGGAAUCUACUUUUUCGUGGGGGAUAACGUAGGGAAACUUACUCUAAUACCGCAUACGACCUACGGGUGAAAGCAGGGGAUCUUCGGACCUUGCGCGAUUGAAUGAGCCGAUUUCGGAUUAGCUAGUUGGCGGGGUAAAGGCCCACCAAGGCGACGAUCCGUAGCUGGUCUGAGAGGAUGAUAAGCCACACUGGAACGGAGACACGGUCCAGACUACUACGGGAGGAAGCAGUGGGGAAUAUUGGACAAUGGGCGCAAGCAUGAUCCAGCCAUACCGCGUGGGUGAAGAAGGCCUUCGGGUUGUAAAGCCCUUUUGUUGGGAAAGAAAAGCAGCAGGUUAAUACCCCGCUGUUCUGACGGUACCCAAAGAAUAAGCACCGGCUAACUUCGUG